UACCAGCUCUUCGAGUGGUGUGGAUGUUUAUUGGGCCUAAAGCAUCCGUAGCUGGCUGGGCAAGUCCCCUGUUAAAUCCACCGAUUUAAUCGUUGGAGUGCGGGGGAUACUGUUCGGCUAGGGGACGGGAGAGGCAGACGGUAUUUUCGGGGUAGGGGUGAAAUCCUAUAAUCCCGGGAAGACCACCAGUGGCGAAGGCUGUCUGCUAGAACGCGCCCGACAGUGAGGGAUGAAAGCUGGGGGAGCGAACCGGAUUAGAUACCCGGGUAGUCCCAGCUGUAAACGAUGCAGGCUAGGUGUUUGGGCGGCCACGUGCCGCUCUAGUGCCGCAGGGAAGCCGUUAAGCCUGCCGCCUGGGGAGUACGGCCGCAAGGCUGAAACUUAAAGGAAUUGGCGGGGAGCACCACAAGGGGUGAAGCUUGCGGUUU
rnacentral:rRNA from 1 species